CCAGAAGGAAAAUGAAAGAAGAAAUUUAAAUACCACUUGAAGAGAGGUGCUGCCCAGUUCAUGAGUGCUGCUGCUGUCCUGCCCAAGUACCCAGCUUGCAGAGUGCCAGAGUUAGAGUCCCAGGGGUGUUCUCCACAGCUGCAUGCUUGAUCCAGGCCUAUCAGAUAUAUUCCAUUGAAAGUCCUCAUUCUCAAAUUUAAAACAAAGACUUUUUGUGUACCUCAAUAGCAAUGCACACACAGUUGGCUUCACAAACAUAUUGUACAUUUCUUUUUUUCAUAUUUAUUCAACAAAUGUAUAUUGACUACCCACCGUGUGACAGGUGUUAUUUGUUGACGGAACCAGGCAUCAUCAGCAAACAAAACUGACAAAGCUUCCUGCCCUCUGUGGAAGGCAUCUGAGGAAGAGACUGGAUUUUGUAGCAACAUGUUAUUCUCAUUAUAAACUUUAUCAUUGGAAUACUAAAGCCAAAUCAUCCCCCAUCUCCUUGAUCAGGAUACCCACUUAAUCUAGGCAGCUACACAAUUGUGAGAGCCUUUGUUUUUUUCUGCUGAAACAUCCUUAAAAAGAUACCUCACAACCCAAGAUUUGGCUUUUCUUAAAUACGAUUUUUAAUUUUUUUCAUUUCUAUCUAGAGAUUUAAUUGGAAAUGGA
rnacentral:lncRNA from 1 species